rnacentral:rRNA from 1 species
CAGCCGCCGCGGUAAUACAGAAGAUGCAAGCGUUAUCCGGAAUGAUUGGGCGUAAAGCGUCUGUAGGUGGCUUUUCAAGUCCACCGUCAAAUCCCAGGGCUCAACCCUGGACAGGCGGUGGAAACUACCAAGCUGGAGUACGGUAGGGGCAGAGGGAAUUUCCAGUGGAGCGGUGAAAUGCGUUGAGAUCGAAAAGAACACCAACAGCGAAAGCACUCUGCUGGGACGACACUGACACUAAGAGACGAAAGCUAGGGGAGCAAAUGGGAUUAGAUACCCCCGUAGUCCCUGUCUCUUAUAC